rnacentral:lncRNA from 1 species
AUGCACAGUGCUGAGGGGAACACUGAAGCUGGUAAUAAGGGUGUUUCACACAUGGUUUCGGCUGAUGCCUUUGUACUCUCAUCAGGAGAAAUGAAGGAUGUUUUUAAUAAGGAAAAGGAAAGCCCUCAUGAUUGUGAGCUCCAAAAACCUGAGGACUUUUCUGUAUGUCUUACAGAGAGUGAGAAAGCUCUUCCUGCAGUUAGUGACCAAAAGGAAAAAAUGGCUGAUUUUGCUAAAAAGCCUGAAACUUGCCGAGAGGCAUCAUGUGUGACAUCAUCUGCAUCUCAAGAGAAUACUGUGCUGUUUAGGAGAGGCAAAUUGCAAGUGAAGCCAAAAAUCCCCAAAACAACAUCUACUAAAGAUGAUUUCUCAAGACCUUCGCAAUCUCACUUUGGGUAUAGCGAUCCAGCCACAGCUCUAAUCAUUAAACCAGCACAUCUGAUUAAAGAAGAAUCCAUUAAAGUGGAACAGAGGUCUGAUCAAGAAGAUUUCUCUGAUAUUCCAAAAGAGGAGUUCGACGGAGAGCCUUCUGUGAUUGCUUCGUCCUCACAACUUCAACAGCUUAUACCAAAAACAACAGCAUGCACUGAAUUGCAACCAGAGGAACUGAAAAUAGAGGAUGGGCAUGAGGAUGCUGCACACGUGGUGGUGUCUGAUAUAUCGGUGCCGGUUUCUGCUGAAAUGGAAGAUGGUGAUCAUAUGGCGAGUGGAAGUUCCAUCCAAAGCAGUCUUCACAUGGGUGCCGUCGCUACAGAAGAAGACCAGGAAAAGCAUUCACAUGAGGGUGUUUCACACAUACUGCUGACUGAUAUAUUGCUCCCCGUCUGUGAGGACAUGAAAGAUGAUCUGAGCAAGGAAAGGACAACAACUGGAAAGAGAAGCCCACUUGUGGCAGAAAGAUCACAGGUGAGAGAGGAUCCAGAUACUGUACACCUGUCAUGUGCAGUGACACAAUCAUCAAACGAGGGACCAUCAGUAUCACCCAAGAGGAAAAGACAGACUCAGGCAAAAGGCAAGUUAUUGGUAGAGAUGACGUUUCCCAAAAGGAAGACUGGAGAUUCCCCUAAGAGUGACGAGCAAUCACAAACCAUUCCUUCGUCAACCUUAAUGUCAGAGUCAACACAAUGUAGUGCUGAGACAUGGUAUGAGUGA